UGGAUCAAUGAUGAUAGAUUCCAAAGUAUGAGUUAUCGAUGACGAAUAAUACAUGCCUGGAAGUCUGAGAUCCAU
ensembl:snoRNA